CAUUCUCUCCCUCCUUCUAUCCACAUUGCAUUGAGUGAAGAAAAUAAAGAACUUUAAACUCAAAAGGCUCUCUUUUUUGCAAAAAUCUCUCACACCCUUUUGUUCUUCCUCUGUUUCUUUAAACAAGAAAAGAAAAAAAAAAGGGAGACUUUGCUUCUCCUUCUUCUUCGUUCUUCUCUCAAAAUUUUCCAUACCCAAAUCCAAUGGUGGUUUUGUCCAAACAGUCAAUCCAACAGUUGUCUUCUAAUUCCUUCAUGAGAAAUUCCAUGGCUUCUGCUGCUUCUUCCUCUGCAGCAUUUUUCUCUGAGGUUCCACUAAUAGACCUUUCUUCACCAGAUGCUAAACAGCUCAUUGUUAAAGCCUGUGAAGAACUUGGUUUUUUCAAGGUCGUCAACCAUGGCGUUCCUAUGGAAUUUAUCUCCACUCUCGAAUCAGAAUCCACGAAUUUCUUCUCCCUUCCCCUCUCUGAAAAACAAAAAGCUGCUCCUCCUUCCCCCUUUGGCUAUGGCAACAAACAAAUUGGCCGCAAUGGCGACGUGGGUUGGGUCGAAUACAUUCUCUUAAACACUCACCUAGAAUCCAACUCCGAUGGGUUCCUCUCCAUUUUUGGCCAAGACCCACAGAAACUCCGCUCUGCUGUGAACAAUUACAUAUCAGCGGUGAGGAAUAUGGCGUGUGAAAUCCUUGAGUUAAUGGCGGAAGGAUUGAAGAUUCAGCAGAGGAAUGCGUUUAGUAAACUGGUAAUGGAUGAAGAGAGUGACUCAGUUUUUAGGGUGAACCAUUAUCCGCCAUGUCCACAGAUUCAAGCUUUGAAAGGGAUGAACAUGAUUGGAUUUGGAGAACAUACAGACCCACAGAUUAUAUCAGUUUUAAGAUCAAAUAAUACUUCUGGACUUCAAAUUUCUCUUGCUGAUGGGAAUUGGAUUUCUGUUCCUCCUGAUCAAAACUCCUUCUUCAUCAAUGUUGGUGACUCUUUACAGGUGAUGACUAAUGGAAGAUUCAAAAGUGUGAAGCAUAGGGUAUUGACAAACAGCUUGAAGUCAAGAAUUUCAAUGAUAUAUUUUGGUGGGCCACCAUUAAGUGAAAAAAUAGCUCCUUUGCCUUCACUUAUGAAAGGAGAAGAAAGAAGUUUGUACAAAGAGUUUACUUGGUUUGAGUACAAAAGAUCAGCUUACAACUCCAGACUGUGCAGUGUGGAAACAGUACAACUUGUUGGUGUUGGGUAUAUCUUAAUAAGCGUUGUGAGGCCCUAGAAAAGAAGAGGAAUGUUAAUGUGGAAAUCAAUGAAUAUGAGUGAAGCUGUUUCAAGAAGUAUGAAGACUAAAGCCGUUGAAAUUUUGGGUCAAAAAGGUUGGCUAAACUUUUUUAGGUGGUGGGGAGUGGUUUCUCCCCCCCCCCCAAAAGCUACUUUGGGUCAACAAAACAAAAAGGUAAUUAAGUUAACUUUUUUAAAAAUCAGUUUGAGAUAACUAUGAAAAACAUGGGGAUGCCCAUCACGUGACCAAAUCCCUUAUAACCUCAAAACAAAACAUAUUAUUAUUAUAUUCUUUCAACAGUAUCUAUAUAUAUCUUAUUCCAAAAUCUUGUACUAAUAGAUGUGUGUUUUACAUUGACUAAUGUUCUAUUAAUUUUUUAAUAUCACUUGUAAAGUUUGACCAUGUUUUCUUUUUCCUCUUUUCAAAAUUCUUAAAUUUGUACUUAGUUGAAUUCACGGGGUGUUGUUAUUUAUAUUUUAAUGAGGUACAUCAAAAUAUGAGGACAUAAAAUCUAAAAUCAUUUAUAAUAGAAAGUAAGUAAGUAAACAUGUCAAACCGACUUGGUAAGAUGUUGAAUGUAGACCAAAUGAAAAGAAUGUGAAAAAGAAGAAUGAAAAUGAGAUGAGAUGAGGUGGCAUGAAUAUUGGUAAAAAGGAAAAGAGAAGAAUAAAGAUGGUGAUGAUGAGAGGAAGAAGAUGUAAAUGUUGAUCAGAUUUUAUUAUGAGAAAUUGAAGAAGGAAAUGAUGAAGAGAGAGAGCAGUGUAAGAAGAAAUGGUGAGGGGGGGAAGGGCAAAGCGCGUAUGUUUCCGUGUGGUCUCACCCAAUUCCUUAUCAGGUCACAUUCUUCUCAAUCUUGGUCCCUAAAACGUGACCCUUUUUAUUUGGUUUAUGUUUAUUUAAAGUCAACUCAAAAUAUAGGGGGUGACAACGAAGUGGGAAAGGAACGUCCUACAUACCCAUCUUACAAAUUUACUCCAAUCUCCCAUCCCCUUCACCAUUCCUUAUCUCCCCCACCUUACCCCUUUCUACCUCAAUUAACCUUGAGUGAUAAAUUCUUUCUUUUUUUUUUUAGAGAUAUUCACAUGUUUAUGUUGCAUUAAUUGUAUUUUAAUGUAUCCAAUCAUUGGCUGAAUUUUGAUAAAGAUUAUUUCGUGUUUUUCUCCGUUAUUUUUUGCAACAAUAAAAUUAUUAUCAUUGUGUCUUAUAUUUUUUAUUAUUGAAUUGGUCAAAAUAACAUGUUACUAAAGUAGCUUCUGUUAUCUAGAUUAGUUUAAUUCUACAAUAUAAGAUGUGAAUAUUCAUUGAUUAAUGUGAAUAAUUAUUGGUCCAAAAGAAGAUAAUUAUUAUUUGGCCAAAUUAUGAGUAUGCAUGUGGUAAUGAGUAGGUGACAGUUAUAAGGAUUGCUCACGUAAAAAAUAGUCGGUUCAAAAGGCCUUGGUUGGGGACCCAAGCCGAAGACCCGCAGAACGGCAAGUGCAAGCAGUUCGUCGACAUCUUCUUUGCAGUCCACCCAAAAAGAAAUUGAAUUACAAGCUAAACUUCAUGAAGCUUUGGAACGGAUUGAAAUACAAGAUAGAAAUCACCAAGCAUUAGCUUCACAAGUGGAAGCUAUGAAAAAUAUGAUUGAAGACCUAACUCGUGCACAAUAGGGACCACCACAUGAUCCCUAGCUCUGCGGACCGAAGGUGUAGAAUGACGCGCAUACGCACCUCGUUGGGAGAUUUUUCAUUAUGUUUAUGUUUUUUCUAUUUUGAGAACUAUAUUUUGUUGUAGUCAACUUAUUCGUAUUAUUAAUUUUAAUUCUGUUUUUUUAAUUUGUGUUUGUAUAUUUAUUAAUUUAUUUUAAUUUAAUCCAAAACGUCGCGAAA